AACAAAGCGGACAGCUACAUAUUCUCUUCCUGUUUCCAACAGCUGUCGUUUCUACGACGAACACAGACGCUCACCGGUUAACGGGGCCACUCGUUAAACCGAAACACCGGUCGUCGUGGCGCAGCUUCAUUUCUCUGUGAUGUUACCGACACUUUUACGCCUCUUUGCUCAUCUUGUUGGCUUAUUGCUGUGAGCGGGUUGCAGUGCAGCUCUGACUCCAGGAAACAGCUCACCGGUGUCGAAGCCUUUUCUCUGCUGCCGUCGAGUGAGAGUCUGCUUCAUCAACACUUUGGGCGUUUUGAAGAAACUGUGAAAGUGGAUGUGAGUUGAGCAGCAUGAGUCAGUGUGAGGACAGAGAGGAGGGAGUCCCU